rnacentral:misc_RNA from 1 species
GAUGAAGAACGCAGCGAAAUGCGAUACGUAAUGUGAAUUGCAGAAUUCAGUGAAUCAUCGAAUCUUUGAACGCAUGUUGCGCUCUCUGGUAUUCCGGAGAGCAUGCUUGUUUGAGUAUCAGUAAACACCUCAACUUCCAUAUCUUUUUUGAAAUGGGAGUUGGACUUGAGUGAUCCCAACGCUUUUCCUCACCGAAAAGUGGCGGGUUACUUGAAAUGCAGGUGCAGCUGGACUUUUCUCUGAGCUAUAAGCAUAUCUAUUUAGUCUGCCUAAAAAACAGAUUAUUACCUUUGCUGCAGCUAACAUAAAGGAGAUUAGUUCUUGUGCUGACUGAUGCAGGAUUCACAAAGACAGGCUUCGGCCGACUUUGUAAACUCGAUCUCAAAUCAAGUAAGACUACCCGCUGAACUUAAGCAUAUCAAUAAGCGGAGGA